rnacentral:rRNA from 1 species
GACGAACGCUGGCGGCGUGCUUAACACAUGCAAGUCGUGCGGUAAGGCCCUUUCGGGGGUACACGAGCGGCGAACGGGUGAGUAACACGUGAGCAACCUGCCCUCCACUUUGGGAUAACUGCCGGAAACGGUGGCUAAUACCGGAUAUGACUUCCCCACGCAUGCGGGGUGGUGGAAAGCCUUCGGGUGGUGGGGGAUGGGCUCGCGGUCUAUCAGCUUGUUGGUGGGGUGAUGGCCUACCAAGGCUUCGACGGGUAGCCGGCCUGAGAGGGUGACCGGCCACACUGGGACUGAGACACGGCCCAGACUCCUACGGGAGGCAGCAGUGGGGAAUAUUGGACAAUGGGCGAAAGCCUGAUCCAGCAACGCCGCGUGAGGGAUGACGGCCUUCGGGUUGUAAACCUCUUUCGCCUGCGACGAAGCGAGAGUGACGGUAGCAGGUAAAGAAGCACCGGCCAACCACGUG